GACGAACGCUGGCGGCGUGCUUAACACAUGCAAGUCGAGCGGAAAGGCCCUUUCGGGGGUACUCGAGCGGCGAACGGGUGAGUAACACGUGAGUAAUCUGCCUCUGGCUUCGGGAUAGCCACCGGAAACGGUGAUUAAUACCGGAUAUGACAUCUUCACGCAUGUGAUGGGUGUGGAAAGUUUUUUCGGCCAGGGAUGUGCUCGCGGCCUAUCAGCUUGUUGGUGGGGUAAUCGCCUACCAAGGCUUCGACGGGUAGCCGGCCUGAGAGGGUGACCGGCCACACUGGGACUGAGACACGGCCCAGACUCCUACGGGAGGCAGCAGUGGGGAAUAUUGGACAAUGGGCGGAAGCCUGAUCCAGCAACGCCGCGUGAGGGAUGACGGCCUUCGGGUUGUAAACCUCUUUCAGCACAGACGAGGCGCAAGUGACGGUAUGUGCAGAAGAAGGACCGGCCAACUACGUGCCAGCAGCCGCAGUAACAC
rnacentral:rRNA from 1 species